GGGGUGAGGCCGGAUCCUGGGCUGUGUCCCCGGCGCCCUGGGCUCAGGGGCCUGUGCUGCUAGAAUCGCGCUCCCGGCAGCACAGCCCCUC
rnacentral:pre_miRNA from 1 species